rnacentral:rRNA from 1 species
UAAGGAAUAUUGGUCAAUGGACGCAAGUCUGAACCAGCCAUGCCGCGUGAAGGAUGAAGGUCCUCUGGAUUGUAAACUUCUUUUAUCUGGGACGAAAACGGGAUUUUUAUCUCAAUUGACGGUACCAGAGGAAUAAGCCCCGGCUAACUCCGUGCCAGCAGCCGCGGUAAUACGGAGGGUGCGAGCGUUAUCCGGAUUUACUGGGUUUAAAGGGUGCGUAGGUGGGCUUAUAAGUCAGUGGUGAAAUCUCCGAGCUUAACUUGGAAACUGCCGUUGAUACUAUAGGUCUUGAAUUAUCUGGAGGUAAGCGGAAUAUGUCAUGUAGCGGUGAAAUGCUUAGAUAUGACAUAGAACACCAAUUGCGAAGGCAGCUUACUACAUAUAAAUUGACGCUGAGGCA